rnacentral:rRNA from 1 species
AGAGAGAGACAUGCGCGCAUAUCAAUAAGCGGAGGAAAAGAAACUAACAAGGAUUCCCUUAGUAACGGCGAGUGAAGCGGGAAGAGCUCAAAUUUGAAAUCUUCAAGGUUUUACCUUGACGAAUUGUAGUUUAAAGAAGUGUUUUCUGCUGAAGUUUUGGUAAAAGUUCUUUGGAAUAGGACAUCAUAGAGGGUGAGAAUCCCGUAUUUGACCAUUAUUUUCAGCUUUGUGAUACACUUUCAAAGAGUCGGAUUGUUUGGGAAUGCAGUCCAAAAUGGGUGGUAAAUUUCAUCUAAAGCUAAAUAUUGGCGAGAGACCGAUAGCGAACAAGUACCGUGAGGGAAAGAUGAAAAGAACUUUGAAAAGAGAGUUAAACAGUACGUGAAAUUGUCAAAAGGGAAGCGUUUGACACCAGUGUUGUUUUCUCGAAAAUCAAUUAAAAAUGGCUCGAUUUUGUAUUGCUGAGACCUUAAAAGCUCACUGUACAUUUUUCGUGUCUUUUUUAAUGCACUUUUCGUUUAACAAGUCAACAUCAGUUUCUUUUGUUGUAAAAGGGUCAUUGGAAGGUGGCUUUCUUUUCGGAGAAAGUGUUUAUAGCCUUUGGCCUCUGCAAUCGGAGAGAUUGAGGUCUGCAGCGUAGAUCCUUCGGGGUUAGAUACAUUUGUGCUAAGUUAUAGCCUUUCAUAGACAACUUGUUGACUAUGAUCAGUCAUGUAGCUUACUCGCUUAUGCUAUUUUACCUACGCUUAGGAUGUUGAAGUCAUCGUAUCGCGCA